GAAGAUAUCGCUCAAGUAGUAAAGCACAUGCUUAGCAUGCAUGAGGUCCUGGGUUCAAUCCCCAGUACCUCCU
rnacentral:tRNA from 1 species